UACGUAGGGUGCGAGCGUUGUCCGGAAUUAUUGGGCGUAAAGAGCUCGUAGGCGGCCUAUUGCGUCUGCUGUGAAAGCCCGGGGCUUAACCCCGGGUCUGCAGUGGAUACGGGCAGGCUAGAGUUCGGCAGGGGAGACUGGAAUUCCUGGUGUAGCGGUGAAAUGCUUAGAUAUCGUCAAGAACACCGAUAGUGUAGACAGCUUACUAGGCUGAAACUGACGCUGAGGCACGAAAGUGUGGGGAUCAAACAGG
rnacentral:rRNA from 1 species